GNGCAUCAAGGGCUAAACUGGCCACGGUC
rnacentral:piRNA from 1 species